rnacentral:lncRNA from 10 species
GAGGAACAGAUUGGAGGAAAUUUAAGGAAACAGGGCCACUAAAUACAAUGUGAGUUCCAAGACUGAGUUUUGGAGCAGAAAACAGAUAUUAGUGGUGAAACUGAUGAAAUCUGAGGAAGAGAAAAAGUUCAGAUUGUGGUUAAUAAAAGUAGUCACUUUCUAUACUAGAGUGGUAACUUCAUCAAGAGAACGAAGAUAGCAUGCCAU